ACGAACGCUGGCGGCGUGCUUAACCCCUGCAAGUCGAACGGAAAGGCCUUUUCGGAGGUACUCGAGUGGCGAACGGGUGAGUAACACGUGGGUGAUCUGCCCUGCACUCUGGGAUAAGCCUGGGAAACUGGGUCUAAUACCGGAUAGGACCGCACUUUAGUGUGUGUGGUGGAAAGUUUUUUCGGUGUAGGAUGAGCCCGCGGCCUAUCAGCUUGUUGGUGGGGUAAUGGCCUACCAAGGCGGCGACGGGUAGCCGGACUGAGAGGUUGGUCGGCCACAUUGGGACUGAGAUACGGCCCAGACUCCUACGGGAGGCAGCAGUGGGGAAUAUUGCACAAUGGGCGCAAGCCUGAUGCAGCGACGCCGCGUGGGGGAUGACGGCCUUCGGGUUGUAAACUCCUUUCGCCAGGGACGAAGCGUUUUGUGACGGUACCUGGAGAAGAAGCACCGGCUAACUACGUG
rnacentral:rRNA from 1 species